GCGGAGGAAUAUGGCGCUGUGGGCAUGUUCAGUUGCUCCUGCCCUCAGGCUUUGGGGCCUGGGAGGUGCGCGGCCCUGGACCCGCCGGCCUCGUAUUGCAUGUGGAGGAAGGCCCGUGUCUUUUUCUGCCAGUGCCUCCAGUGUCUCUGGAAGUGGAGGCCACAGUCAGAAGUUUCUCCUGCAGGACAUCGCUGAGCUGAUGAAAACCAGAGCCUGCCAGAGGGCGGUGGUCAUGGUCGGGGCCGGCAUCAGCACACCCAGCGGCGUCCCAGACUUCAGAUCUCCAGGGACCGGCUACUACAGCAUGCUCCAGCAGUACAAGAUCCCCUACCCCGAGGCCAUUUUUGAGCUCUCAUUUUUCUUGCGUGAUCCCAAGCCGUUUUUCACUUUUGCCAAGGAGCUGUACCCUGGGAACCGUAGGCCCAAUGCUGCUCACUACUUCCUGCGACUGCUCCAUGACAAGGGCCUGCUUCUGCGGCUCUACACACAGAACAUCGACGGGCUUGAGAGAGCGUCUGGCAUCCCUGCCUCAAAGCUCGUAGAAGCUCACGGAUCCUUUGCCUCUGCCACCUGCACCGUCUGCCGAAGACCCUUCCCAGGGGAGGACUUCUGGGCCGACGUGAUGGUGGACGGGGUCCCACGCUGCCCGGUCUGCACUGGCGUUGUGAAGCCCGACAUCGUGUUCUUUGGGGAGAUGCUGCCCCACAGGUUCCUGCUGCAUCUGGCUGACUUCCCCAUGGCAGACCUGCUGCUCAUCCUUGGGACCUCUCUGGAGGUGGAACCUUUCGCCAGCUUGUCUGAGGCCGUGCGGAGCUCGGUGCCCCGACUCCUCAUCAACCGGGACUUGGUCGGGUCCCUGGCUCGGCAUCCUCGGGGCAGGGAUGUGGUCCAGCUGGGGGACGUGGUUCACGGUGUGAAAAGGCUGGUGGAGCUUCUGGGCUGGACGGAGGAGAUGCGGGACCUCAUCCGGCGGGAAACUGGAAAGUUUGAUGGUUGGGACAAAUUAGGAGAGUGAGGGCCACUCCUCGCACCAGAAUGGCUGUACGGGAGUCACGGCCCGCUUCUGAUGAGCCCUCUGCCUGAAGAACAGCUCGGGCACGUUGACAAGUUUUGGCUGAACCAGAACAUGCGACCUGAGGCUGCCCCUGGAGUGUCUUCCCAGGUCAUAAGAGUCUGUGCACUCAGGGCCACCCCAGCCACAGAUGUGCAGGAGCUGCCUGGCCUGACUUUUUGCUGAAGCUCUUAAUGCCACAAGCGUUCUUCUGAUGGUGAACCUCUUGAACUCAGACAACCUGGAACCGUAGACUGGACUCCAAUCUGAAGGGCAGGUUCAGCAUCUGUCCACUUGGGUCGAGCAGCCCGUCACACCCCAAGUGUGGGCCUGGGUCCCAGGGAAGAUGAACAUGGAAAGGGGAGCUUGGGUGUGUGUGUGUGUCUUUCCUCUACUGAAACCACCCGAGGACUGAGAACAUUUGUCCCUGAUUCAUCUCAGAGGUGGGUACAGUGCCCUCUUCCAGCUCAAGUCCACGGGACCUUCAGAGCACCCAGCACCCCUCCUGAAGGUCACCCCAUCCUGUUCACUCAACCUGAUGCCUUUCACAUCAACCCCCAGAAACUCAUCUGUUCCAGACCAUUCCAGCAGCUUCC